GGUCUGGAGUUCCCGUUGUGGCGCAAUGGAAAUGACGAAUCCGACUAGUGUCCUUGAGGAUUCAGGUUCGAUCUCUGGCCUUGCUUAGUGGGUUGGGAAUCCGCCGUUGCUGUGAGCUGUGGUGUAGGUCACAGACUCGGCUUGGAUCCUGCAUUGCUGUGGCUGUGGCGUAGCCCGGCAGAUACAGCUCUGAUUCAAACCCUAGCCUGGGAACUUGCAUAUGCCUCAGGUGUGGCCCUAAAAAGAAAAAAAAUAAAACGAAUGAUUUGCCCUCCUUCCCACCCCCCACCCCUCAUCAACAGGCAGUUUCUCUGCAGAUGAAUGCAAAUUCACAGACACAGGAUCUCCUUGUUUGCAAAAAUAGCAUCCGACACACAAUAUUGCGUGACUUUACAAUAUGUCCUGGGCAACCCCCCCAUGUGUCCUUUUUAAUAGUUGCCUAUUAUUCCUCAGGGACCGUGCACCUUUCCUGGCUCAACCAUCGGUGGACUGGUGAUCGGUCACCAGUGUCUGUUACACCAAACGCACCUGUGAUCGACACUCUCUCACCUUGCUGCUGACACGUUGCUGCUGCUUUGAUUUCUGUGAAAUCAUCUCCCAAAUGGGAAACUACUGAGGCAGAAGGUAGGUGUCAUUUCUUUGAGAAUUGUAUAAAAUUCUUGUACAUUUAGCCUCCUGUUGAUUUGGGGGGAAGCUAAAUAUUUCCUCCUGUUUCUUUACCAACCACAGGCCCAUCUUUGUGAAUCGUGCAUUUGUUUCCUCCGUUAAUCUGUUACGGUCUUCAUGUUUUUCUUCUCGAUUUUUCUGAGCUUUUAGGUAAUUAAGUUUGGAGCAAAACACGUGUUCGUAGUUAGCUCUUGGCAUCCACUGUCCUUUUCAAGUGAAAAAUGUUAAGUAUGAAAAAAAAGUGAAAGAAAGUGGAUAUAAUUUCAGCCCGGGUAGAUGACCUGCUUGUUUUAGAAUUCUGGAACAUCAGCUCGGGAUCUAUGAAAAAAUGAAGGUAUGUCUUUCCAUGCUCACAGGAGGGAGCUCAUUAAGUUGCCCAUCAGCCUAAAAAAAGGAAACAUCGUUUUAAGGCAGGGGGUGUACCCAGGAGUUCCACGUCAUGGUGCAGCAGAAACAAAUGUGACUAGGAACUGUGAGGUUGCAGGUUCGAUCCCUGGGCUCCCUCAGGGGUUGAGGAUCUGGCGUUGCCGUGAGCUGUGGUGUAGGUUGCAGACAUGGCUCGGAGCCCACGUUGCUAUUGUGGCCAGCAGCUGUAGCUCCGAUUGGACCCCUAGCCUGGAAACCUCCAUAUGCUGCAGGUGUGGCCCUAAAAAGCAAAAAAUAAAUAAAGGGGGGGGACCCAGCAUUCCAAGGAAUUUCCUAAUUUUGAGGAAAUACCUGAAAAUACUAACAUAUAUGCAUCCAAGUCCAUCCUAAGUUCAGCUUUUGUUGUAGAUGGAACACAGGCCGGGGGGUCAGAGAGCACCGGCUUCCAGCUCCAGCUGCACACUCCCCGUGUGGCCUCCAGCCCUUGCGUCCUAACCAUUCUGGCUCCUGUUCUUCACCUGUGAAUUAGGGUAACCGUACCUUUGGGGUGACCCCGGGGAUCAUCACCCCUGGUGGGCACCCUCGAGGGGUCCCUCCCACAGGAUUCAAAGAAGACCCGAGGGAACCAAGGACACAGCAUAGGUGACGGUGUUAGCCUUCCCAGAUUAGGUCAUAAAAAUGUUGCACCUCCCACCUCCCCCUCGGACAAGUGACUCUGGAAAAAGGCAGGAUGCGGCAAGGACAGACCGCCAGCCGGGAGAGGGCGCCGUUCUGGAAGUGAGCCUCCAGUCCACCCAGCCUUCACUUGACUACAGCCCCAGCUGACCUCUCACCUUAACUUCAUGAGGGGACCCAAACCAGAACCUUCCAGCGAGGCUGCUUCUGAAUUCCUGACCCACUGAAACAAUGAAACGUAAUAAAUGACUCUCGCUGCUUAAGUCUCUAAGUUUGGGGUCGGUUUGUUGUUGCAUGGUUGUAGUCACCCUGACAUUGACCUGUUGGCUGGUUGGAAGAUGCCCUUGAAAAAAACCACGCAUCUGACGUUACUUUCAAUGGCACGAGGGGAGAGACGAUGAUGAGCCCCAUUCCUCCAGACCCGACAACAUCACUUCCCAGAUGGAGCGCUAUGCCUGGGAGACAGAGACCCGGGUUCUGAUCCCUCCACGUGGUAGACAAAGAGCGUUGUAGUGUCGGGCAAAGCAUGCCACAUUCACAGGCAUUUCCCUUAUCCAGACUCGUGACUCUGAAUACUUUCCACGGAGAGCUGAUGUGAAGACCAGAUAGGAACAUUCACAUUCAAAUACCUGGAAACCAGACAAUGCUUUAAAAAUAUAAGGUGUAUUCCUGUUAACUCUUCAUACACAACACGUCACCUGAGAUGUAGCGACUUCAAGUGACAGUCACUUUAUUACUCCCUCUCAUGGUUCUGGGGUGAUGGGGCCCAGCCGGGCUCUCUCCCCCGGGCUCUGUCCCACUGGUGUUCCCAGACAGCCAAGGGGCCAGGUCAUCUUGGGGCCUCAGCUCCUCCCUGUGUGUCUGGGGUGGAUCCCGGCUGCUGACUAAGAUCUUGUCUCUGGCCAUCAGCCCACCACCCACAUGUGGCCUCUGUGUGCACCUUGGGCUUCCCCAUGGCAUGGCAUCUGAGCGCCCCAAGAGAGACCUAGGAGAAGGUGCUGGCCUAUCCCGUCCUGGGCUCAGAAGUCCCACAGUGUCACUCCCACUGCAUUUGGUUGGAGGAGGCGGGACAAAGCUCUGCUCAGUUUCAAGGGAGGUGAAAAGUGCAUCCAGGAGUUUGCAGAAAUGUUUUUCAAACCUCCACCCAGGGACAGUCACAUUAGAUAAUAUUUCAAAUAGUGUUCUCAGAGUUCCUGCUGUGGUGCAAUGGGAUCGGUGGUGUCUCUGGGGCGCUGGGACGCAGGUUCCAACCCUGGCCUGGCACAGUGGGUUGGGCAUCUGACGUUACCACAGCUGUAGCUUAGGUUGCAACUGCAUUUUGGAUCUGAUCCCUAGCCCAGGAACUCCAUGUGCCAUGGGGUGACCAGAAAAUAAAAUUAAAAUAAAAUAAAAUAAAUAAAAUCAGGAGUCCCUGUUGUGGCUCAGUGUGUUACAACUCCGACUAGAAUCCAUAAGAAUUCAUGUUCAAUCCCUGAUGUCGCUCAGUGGGUUAAGGAUCUGGCGUUGCCAUGAGCUGUGGUGUAGGCUGGCAGCUGCAGCUCUGACCCCUAAGCUGGGCAUUUCCAUAUACCACAGGUGUGGCCCUAAAAAGAAAAAAAAAAAUCAGUAUUCUCUCACAUCUGGUGGAUGGAUCUGGUGGACAUGCAAGAACUCAAAACCACAGUGCUCAUGAGUGAGUUUUCACCAGCGCUUGACCUGAAUAACUCAGUUUCUGCAACAACCCCGGGCGGUGCGUGGCUGCAGACGGCGGAUGCACCCUGGGCAGCCAAAGUAAAUAACUCACUCACCGAGGGCUCCUGGCCUCGACAGACUGUGCUGGAAAACCACAGGCAGGGCUUGCAGCUACAGGAUCCAGGAAUAACACCCAAAUCACCCAAGUCCCACUGCAGUUCAGUCAGGGCACCAGGCGGGGCCUCCCUGAGGCCAGAGAUGAGGGAGGAUCCCGCUCUGUGGUCAGAAUCUCCUACUAGGAAGCCCCAGCCUUGGCACGCUCUUUGAGAUGAUCAGUUACAAUUUUUCCUUGAGACGUUUUCUUCAAAGUGACUUGACCGUGCGUCCCAGAUCCGGGGUGUGAGCCUGGCCUCCCUCUUCCCCAGUCUGUGCGUCCCCUCCGUUGAGGCUGAGCAAGGAUGCUUCGCCGCCUGUGCUCAGGGAUUUUUUUUCCUUCACGCUCUUGCCGGUUGCCAUGGUUCUGGGAUGGCCUGUUAACUUGCCUGCAGGUGUAGAAUAGUAAGUGGCUUCCACCACCAAGUGCUUUCAGAAAACCAGAGUGAAGGCAGGGGACGGAUGGGGCCAGGGGAUGGGGGGGAGNNNNNNNNNNNNNNNNNNNNNNNNNNNNNNNNNNNNNNNNNNNNNNCUCCAUCCUUCACAGGGAACUGUCCCCCUUACGAUCUGUACCUGGAGCGUGUUCAAGCAACGUGGAAAUGGUUUGGAAUCUACGAACUGGGUCCUGUGAUGAAGCCAGCCUUAGUCCCGAUGGCGGAGGGCAGGAUUAACCUAUUUCUCAGGAAGAUCGGUUAUUUGCAUUUGCAGGUUGGACAGUGUUGAAAUAGGAAGUUUCUCCAAUGUAUGAGAUGAGAGGACUUGAAAUGCAGACUUACUGGGCUCUUCUCUCUCUCUCUCUCUCACCGGAGUGGAAUUUUCAGGCUAUUAUUUUGGGGUCAAAUUGCCAAAACACAGAUCCGUUGUUUCCACGAUUUGGGAUGAGAGCCACCUGUGUCCCUCUGCGGGUGCAUCAUGCUCCAGGACGAGGCAGCCCCUUGACAAGAGGGCACCAAGCCUCUUGCGUUCUGCUCCGCAUCUGAAUUCUCCCACACCGGCCCAUCUUCCCCACCCCCACCCCCACCCAAGGGUUUAUCUCGAGGAACCAAGGUCCUUCUUGCUCUCAAAUAAUUUCCCCACUAAGUGGUCAUGUCACCUCUUAACAUCUUCCCCUUCCCCGUCAAUACAACUUCACAGAGUAAUGGUGAGAAAUCAGUAAGUCCUGUUGAGGCCUGAGACCAGGUCAGGGAUGAGGGCUCAGUGACCUUUAGCUGAGAGUAUUGUUACAAAGCCACCAUUCCUUGGGGGUUGUGGUCUCCAGUUAAGACUUCAAGCCGUCAGCUUUUCCCAGGCCAAGCUUACUGUUGGUGGCAAUGACUGGGUACCCACUCUGUGUGAGUGAGGCCUCCGUCUCUCCACCAGCGUGCAGUAAACACCAGGGGGCAGGUUCUGAUCUAGUAGCUCUGCAGAGGGGCCUGCACGUCUGCAUUUCUUUUCUUUUCUGUCUUUUUAGGGCCGAACCCGUGGCAUCUGGAGGUUCCCAGGCUAGGCUGCCGGCCUACAUUACAGCCACAGCAAUACCCGAUCCGAGCCGCAUCUGCCACCUCUGUUGCAGCAUCUCGGCAACGCCGGAUCUGUAACCUGCUGAGCGAGGCCAGGGAUUGAACCUGCAUCCUGGUUCCAUCGCUGCAGCCCCGAUUCAACCCUGAGCCCAGGAACUUCCAUAUGCCCUUGGUGCAGCCAUAAAAAUAAAUAAAUAGAUAAAUAAAUAAUUAAAACUGAUCAAUGCUGAACGAAAGUCACUUCUGUCUUUAAUGCAAUUGCUAAGCUAAUAACUACCAAGAACCCUUGAAAGAUUAGGUUGAACCAUGCAAACUUGUUGAUAUUAAACUUUUUACUUUACCUAUGGAAACAGCAAUCUCUUAGGAUGCGACUGAAGGGCUGAGACGUCACUUGGUAAAUGCGGCCACCAUUGCAGUGAAGAAACAACGCUCCAACUGGG
ensembl:lncRNA